UCGUGGGGGAUAACGUAGCGAAAGUUACGCUAAUACCGCAUACGAUCUACGGAUGAAAGCGGGGGAUCGCAAGACCUCGCGCGAUUGGAGCGGCCGAUGGCAGAUUAGGUAGUUGGUGGGGUAAAGGCCUACCAAGCCGACGAUCUGUAGCUGGUCUGAGAGGACGACCAGCCACACUGGGACUGAGACACGGCCCAGACUCCUACGGGAGGCAGCAGUGGGGAAUUUUGGACAAUGGGCGCAAGCCUGAUCCAGCCAUUCCGCGUGCAGGAUGAAGGCCCUCGGGUUGUAAACUGCUUUUGUACGGAACGAAAAGGCCUAGGCUAAUACCUUGGGCUCAUGACGGUACCGUAAGAAUAAG
rnacentral:rRNA from 1 species